rnacentral:rRNA from 1 species
GACGGAGGAUGCAAGCGUUAUCCGGAAUGAUUGGGCGUAAAGCGUCUGCAGGUGGCAGUUUCAAGUCUGCUGUCAAAAGACCGGGGCUUAACUUCGGAAAGGCAGUGGAAACUGAACAGCUAGAGUAGUAGGUAGGGGCAGAUGGGAAUUCCUGGGUGUAGCGGUGAAAAUGCGCAGAGUAUCGGGAGGAACACCAGUGGCGAAGGCGG